AUGUCGGGUCACUUGCCGAUGUAUCCUUACAAGAUACAGAACAGCUGGGACCCAUGUCAUUAUCAAAAGAUGUCAGCUUGCUUUCCAAUGUGUCCUUGGAAGAUACACCACAGCUGGAGCACGUCACAUUCAAAAGAUGUCGAGUCACUUCCCGAUGUAUCCUUGCAAGAUACAGAACAGCUGGGACCCAUGUCAUUUCCAAAUGACCAGCUGCGUCACACUUCAAGUCCAAAAGAGCAGCCACGACACGCUUCACGUCCAAAAGCUAACUUUGUUCCAAAGAGGAAAUGGGAAACGAAGGAAGUGGAAGCAAUAGAAAAGCACUUGAGUACUUUUCUUAAACCUUUACGUGUCCCAGGGAAACUAGACUGUGUUAGAUGCUUAGAAGCAGAGCCCACAGCUUUAAAAAACAGAAACUGGCAGGCUAUCAAAUUUUUUGUGUACAACCAAAUUGUUUCCCUCAAAAGAAAACUGUAAUUCCUGAAUUUCCUGUAAUUAGUUUGGAGUGAAUAAUAGUAGAGAGAAAAUGUAAUGCAGAGAGAAGCCAUUCUAGGCAUCUCAUAAGAGGCUGCUUGUGCGUCUGUUAGCACUAUGUUGCUAGCCCAAGUAACAUUAGCUAUGGGUACAGUUUAAAACAUAUAAUUUCUUCUCUUUUGACUUACAAUACAGUACCCUCUAGAAUUAUUUGCACCUCUGCUAAAGUUGACUAAAAAGUAUCCAUUGAAACCUGUAUCCAUUGAAAACAUGGAGACCUGGAUUUCAUCCCUACGAUGAUACAAAUAGUUCAGGUUGGAGUUCCCACUUGACGAUACAAACAAACUCACACACACUGGUAUUUGUCUCUU